rnacentral:rRNA from 1 species
GAUGAACGCUGGCGGCGUGCCUAAUACAUGCAAGUCGAGCGAACAGACGAGGAGCUUGCUCCUCUGACGUUAGCGGCGGACGGGUGAGUAACACGUGGAUAACCUACCUAUAAGACUGGGAUAACUUCGGGAAACCGGAGCUAAUACCGGAUAAUAUAUUGAACCGCAUGGUUCAAUAGUGAAAGACGGUUUUGCUGUCACUUAUAGAUGGAUCCGCGCCGCAUUAGCUAGUUGGUAAGGUAACGGCUUACCAAGGCAACGAUGCGUAGCCGACCUGAGAGGGUGAUCGGCCACACAGGAACUGAGACACGGUCCAGACUCCGACGGGAGGCAGCAGUAGGGAAUCUUCCGCGAUGGGCGAAAGCCUGGCGGAGCAACGCCGCGGGGGUGAAGAAGGUCUUCGGGUCGUAAAACUCUGUUAUUAGGGAAGAACAAAUGUGUAAGUAACUAUGCACGUCUUGACGGUACAUAAGCAGAAAGCCACGGCUAACUAC